rnacentral:rRNA from 1 species
GAUGAACGCUGGCUACAGGCUUAACACAUGCAAGUCGAGGGGAAACGACGGGGAAGCUUGCUUCCCCGGGCGUCGACUGGCGCACGGGUGAGUAACGCGUAUCCAACCUGCCUCUGACUGAGGGAUAACCCGUCGAAAGUCGGCCUAAUACCUCAUGGCAUCGUCUGCGGGCAUCCAACGACGAUUAAAGAUUUCAUCGGUCAGGGAUGGGGAUGCGUCUGAUUAGCUUGUUGGCGGGGUAACGGCCCACCAAGGCUACGAUCAGUAGGGGUUCUGAGAGGAAGGUCCCCCACAUUGGAACUGAGACACGGUCCAAACUCCUACGGGAGGCAGCAGUGAGGAAUAUUGGUCAAUGGGCGGGAGCCUGAACCAGCCAAGUAGCGUGCAGGAUGACGGCCCUAUGGGUUGUAAACUGCUUUUAUGCGGGGAUAAAGUGAGGGACGUGUCCUUCAUUGCAGGUACCGCAUGAAUAAGGACCGGCUAAUUCCGUG